rnacentral:rRNA from 1 species
CACGUAGGGCGCAAGCGUUGUCCGGAAUUAUUGGGCGUAAAGAGCUCGUAGGCGGACUGUCACGUCUGCUGUGAAAAGCUAGGGCUUAACCCUGGCCUUGCAGUGGAUACGGGCAGACUAGAGGUAGGUAGGGGAGAAUGGAAUUCCCGGUGUAGCGGUGAAAUGCGCAGAUAUCGGGAGGAACACCGGUGGCGAAGGCGGUUCUCUGGGCAUUACCUGGACGCUGAGGAGCGAAAGUGUGGGGAGCGAACAGG